rnacentral:rRNA from 1 species
GGGCCCGCACAAGCGGUGGAGCAUGUGGUUUAAUUCGAUGCAACGCGAAGAACCUUACCAGGACUUGACAUACUACAGAUCCUUUUGAGAAAAAGGAGUGCCUUCGGGAAUGUAGAUACAGGUGGUGCAUGGCUGUCGUCAGCUCGUGUCGUGAGAUGUUGGGUUAAGUCCCGCAACGAGCGCAACCCUUAUUUUUAGUUACUAAUUCGUUAGGUUCUCUAGAAAGACUGCCGGUGACAAACCGGAGGAAGGUGAGGAUGACGUCAAGUCAGCAUGCCCCUUAUGUCCUGGGCUACACACGUGCUACAAUGGUUAAGACAAAGAGUCGCGAGCUCGCGAGAGUCAGCUAAUCUCAUAAACUUAGCCUAAGUUCAGAUUGUAGGCUGCAACUCGCCUACAUGAAGUUGGAAUCGCUAGUAAUCG